GACGAACUGUGCAAACGUUUAUUCGGAAUCACUGGGCUUAAAGGGUGCGUAGGCGGUCUUGUAAGUAGGGUGUGAAAGCCCCCGGCUCAACCGGGGAACUGCGUCCUAAACUGCGAGGCUAGAGUGAGGUAGGGGUGUGUGGAACUUCCAGUGGAGCGGUGAAAUGUGUUGAUAUUGGAAGGAACGCCGGUGGCGAAAGCGACACACUGGACCUUGUCUGACGCUGAGGCACGAAAGCCAGGGGAGCAAACGGG
rnacentral:rRNA from 1 species